rnacentral:rRNA from 1 species
GUAGAAACGGCCCCGGGGCUACCAACCCGUACGGAACUGCUAUUUAGAAACGUGGCAGACUAGAGUACUGUAGGAGGGGGUAGAAUUUCAGGGUGUAGCGGUGAAAUGCGUAGAGAUCUGAAGGAAUACCGGUGGCGAAGGCGGCCCCCUGGACAGAUACUGACACUCAGAUGCGAAAGCGUGGGGAGCAAACAGGAUUAGAUACCCUGGUAG